AACGAACGCUGGCGGCAUGCCUAACACAUGCAAGUCGAACGCGUGUAGCAAUACACGAGUGGCGGACGGGUGAGUAACGCGUGGGAACCUGCCCAAUGGAAGGGAAUAACUGCGGGAAACUGCAGCUAAUACCCUAUGCUCCCUACGGGGAAGAUUAUCGCCAUUGGAGGGGCCCGGCGUCGGAUUAGCUAGUUGGCGGGGUAACGGGCCCACCAAGGCUACGAUCCGUAGCUGGUCUGAGAGGAUGAUCAGCCACACUGGGACUGAGAUA
rnacentral:rRNA from 1 species